UGACUGAGAGCAGAACAGAACACAAUCUUCAUCAUCACACAAGACACAACAACAACAAUGAACAACAUCAUCAUCCUCAUCUGGACUCUCACACUGUUUACUCAAGAGAGUAGAGGACAGAUCACUGUAACUCAGAGUCCAUCAAUAACAGCAGCUCAACCAGGACAAGAAGUCAGAAUAAACUGUAAAAGCAGCAGUAAUGUCUACAGUGAUAGUUAUGGGUCACGUAUGGCCUGGUAUUUACAGAAACCUGGAGAAGCUCCUAAACUCCUCAUAUAUGCUGCAUCAACCCGUUUCACUGGAACUCCAUCUAGAUUCAGUGGCAGUGGAUCUAACAGUGAUUUCACUCUGACCAUCAGUGGAGUCCAGACUGAAGAUACAGGAGAUUAUUACUGUCAGAGUGAACACUACAUCAACAGUAAAUAUGUGUUCACACAGUGAUAAAGAGUCGUACAAAAACCUCCGUCAGUCAGAGUCACAGUGAAUGCACUGAUACAGCUGAGAGAUACUGCAGCUGCUCAUAUAAACAUAAACAAACACAAUGCUGAAAAGAUAACAAACACUAAUAUCACAAUACAAACAGAUGGUGGAGUUUAUUGUGAUAUACUUUGACGUUGACUUGACGAAGCCCCGAUAGAAUGUGUAACUUCUUUAAGUUUAAAGGUUUUCUUGUCACACAGACAGCAAAAAGUCAGGAAGGUCUUCAAAAACUCAACAUAACUCAACUCUGAACAUUAGACCACUUCAGAACCCAUUUAACCUCAACAGACCAGCAUGAAAUCAUAUUAGACCCUAUAGAAAAACGGCUGAUUAAACCACAUUGGAUAAUGGCAUUUGACACAGAAGCAAGGUUAAAUGUGAUUGUUGCUUCAGUAAAAGUGUUUUU